GAAUCGGGUCUCUGACUGGUCUCUGACAGCAGAACAACGUGCUGUCUGCUCCUCGCAUAAUUUUAAAAAAUCCUCUUUCCGUAUUAUCAGUCAAGCAGUCUGGCAAAGUUCUUUGUUUUCUCAGACCUGGGACCUAGGCAUUCAGAUUGCUAUGAAUGUGAGUGAGCCAACUCUGGACAGUGGCACGUGCAAAUCUUUUCUAACUCUUCUAUUUUUCUGGCUUGUGUGGGGAGAAAAGAUAAACGAAGACCUCGGCAGAAAUUUCACGAGUGACUCUGAAGUCCCUGGCUACAGACAACGUCCACACCCACCCACCUGAACCUGGGACAAGCAGCAAGGAAGCACUCGCUAUGGAGGAUGGGUUCAGUGUGCCAAUAUCUUUUGGAGAGGAAUGUCAAUCAAGUAUGGGAGUAAAAGGAAAACUGCUUCCACUCCAAAGACUACUUCUUCUAUCCUAGAAGGUUGAAGAUGGCUCUCUCCACUGAUAAUACCUCCCCAGCUUUCCCAGUGCAUGGAUGAUGACAUCUGUAUGGGCCCAUGUCCCGUUCAUGGCAUGUGACCUCUGACCUCAUUAUCCAUGUUAGUCUGACAGCCCAAGCUGUAGAAGCUUCUCUUGGAUCCUGCAGGACCAGGAAAGUGAAGCCUCCACCAUUACAGCUCGUGACAUGUGGCAGGAAGCAGGGGGAUCACUGCUCAAUUCCUAGGUCUCUUGAUCCUGGACCAAAGAGAACUGUUGUAUAACACCCCUCUCCCAUCCCCAGA